AAAGCACUUAGCAGAGUGCCUGCCACAUGGUAAGUGCUAUAUAAUUGUUGUUUGUCAUUAUUAUUAACCUGAUGUUUCCUUGUGGGAACUAUUACCCCUGUUUCUUUGAAAGUUUGUUUAGCCUCUUGUGUUUAAAAUUUUCCUUUUUUUUUUUUGUAAGGCUGGAAAACAUGAUUAAGCAGUUGAUCCACAAAUUAGUAAAUGGUGUGUGCUAUUGCUAUUCAAACAAAUGCUGUUGAGGAUGAGGAUGGGGAUGGGGGAAGGGCAGCAUAACUGGGAACGACUGGGGAGAGAUAUAUUUAAAGCUGUGACAUUUCCUGGAGUGCAGACUUCUGGCUAGAAGCUUGAAGUCAAGAGGAAUGGAGUUAUUGAUUUAUUUCCCCAACUUCCCAGGGCAAAGAGAAUAUGUUAACUAGAGUUUACCUGGGCAAACCAGUCAGCAGCUGUGGCUGAGCAGCUAAGCGACCCGCUGGACACUGAAGCAGGCAUCUCCUGCACUUGCAGGCUGGUUUCCCCAGGGGAAGGAGCUGAAGGAGUAAAGAAAGAAAGUCAAAUUCCAAAAGAGGAAUAGCCUAGCCUAGGAAAGUGUGAGGGGAAGUAAGAGUGACAGCUCCGCUAUAGGGAACCCUCUACUGUCCCUUAAGAAAGAACAAAAAGGAGAAAGGGGGAGGGAGGAGGGAAGAGAGUUUCCACACAACCAGCAAAUCAACCUGGUAUAUGCAAUAUUCCACACCUAGAAUCCUCCACCUCUGGGAAGAAAGAAAGAAGGUGGAUUAUUUCUUCUUUGCAGUCAUUAGGAAAAGGGUAUUUCUGAAAGAGAAAUCCUGAUUGAAGAGGAAAGAGGGCUUCAGGCUGGCCUACUUCCUGCCCUGAGGCCAUGGAGGGGAUGAAGCAUCAGGUAGUUUGAGAUGGGAGGUGGGUGAGUACUGUUCCAGAAGCCCAGGUCAAGCAUCUACCACUUUCUGGCCCCAGGUCCUUUCUGAUUCUGGAUGUCAGAUGCCCUCUUAGGGUUCCUGGCCACUGGAAUUCUGGAAGGGAAGUUCCUUCUGAAUGCUCUGCUCUCUUGAAUCACCUCAGUGGUGGCAAGGUGAGCAGGCACUUGAGUGGGACCCUCUUGGGGUCCCUUGUUUUUUCCCCUCCAGAAGGGCCCUACAUUGUCCUACAGGUUUAAGGGACUGCCACUUUUAAAAAUCUGGAUAUUUUAUUUACUGAAAGGGGCAGGAAAAGGACAUUUAUCUGAGAAAUACAGAGAAAAGGACCUGAAGAGAAAGAAGGCAGUUCCAAAAGGCCCUGGGCCCUCGUGGGCAAAAAGGAAGACUUUUCCUUCUCCUGCAGGUAAUGACAGGUGGUAGUACCUUGGUUGCUUAGCAACUAAUUUACAUAUGUCUGGUUUUUAGGACUUUUUGAAUUUGAAGUUGGGAAUUUAUGUUUGGAGGUUAUGGGACAACUCUAAAUUGACUUCGUGUCAUCUGAACUGACAUGUUCCGCAAGCCCGAACACUGGGAAGUUGAGGACCUGGCACCAGCCAGGCCCCAAGUGACCUAGUAAAGGUCAUGCUGACUCGGGGUAGGUCCUAAAAGUUUAGAAAGGUUCCCUAUGGGGGCUCUGGCUGGUCCCAGGGCCAGGAUAAUAGGCAUCAAAAGGAAAGGGAGAAGAUUUAGGUGACACGGCAGAGGACAGGAUCUGGGAGGUGCUGGAAUAUCCAACCACCCGAAGAUCCGUGGAAGUCUCAAGUCUGUGGGACUAUUGGGGCAAACACGAUCCACCUCCCAUGCUAGGAUUGUCUAAGGAAUGUGAUUUUUGAUAGAACAGCCCUCCCCAUCUUGCCAAAAAAUGAGCAAAGCAGCUCCAAAUCCAUUAAGUAUGCAACUGAGGGUUAGGUCACAAGAACAGAGAAACCCAACUAGAAGGCAGGGCUGGUAUCCACAGGUCAGGAGAGGUAGACAGGCUGGACUGUGCUGAGGACAGUAAUGUCCUCCAAGCCUCAUGGUGAUCUUCUUUGAUGUCACUGAAUGUGAGAUGGGCCUUAGUAAUCGAAAGCACUCAUUUCACAGAUGAAGAAACUAAGGCCUAGAGCAGCUGAGGGACUUACCAAAGGUUUCAGAGCUAGUCAAAGGGAAGAGCUGGGAUCCUAAGCCAGGUCUAUACUCUAGCAGAGUGCCUGGCAUGUACACGUGUUGCUUGCCAGCCUCUUUCCACUGUGUGAUACUGUUUCUCUGAAGUUCACUGUGGACAGAGUAAGCCAUUAGAGACCUGCUCCAGUGGAACUGUGCUUGGAGAGGGCCAUGCUUGGCUGCCCCAAAGGUCCAGCACCUGUAAACUUCAGGUCUCUGCCCAUGCAGGUCCUUCUCAAUACAGGGACCAGGUUUGACUGUGCCUUCUGAUGGCACCAACCUGCCAGGCCAGGCCUUCCUAAGAGACAAGCCCAGUUGCAUUUGUGCUGGAUUCUUUCCUUUCUCAGAGGUAAGGGGUUGAACAGGACAAUCUCUCAAGGUAAACAAUGCUGCAUUCAAAGACUCAGAAGACCUGGGCUUGAGUCUUCAUUUUGUUUUUUGUUACCUGUGUGACUUAGGAGAAUUGCUGUCAGUCUCUAGGCCUGUUUCCUUCUCUGUAAAAUCAGGGCCUGGACAGACCAUCUCUGGCUUAAGAUGCCUGCAGAGUGCUUUGAGGCCAGCUGGGUGGCCCAGUGUGGAGGCCUGGGCCAGAAGACCCAAGCACAAAUCCAGCUUCAGACACCAGCUGUGUGACCCUGGCUGAGUCUCCAUUUGCUUCACUUUCCUCAACAUGAAAUACCUUCCUCGCAGAGCUUUUGUGAUUAUCAAAUACGAUAAUAUUUGUGGGGAGGGAAAAGUGCUUAGCACAAUGCCUGGCACAGAGAAGGCACUGUAUAGACGCUUAUUCCUUUGUAGCGAUGACAUUUUAUGGUUCUCAUUAUGUCCACUUCUCUUCCUCAAAGCUCUAGGCUGGAACCCUGCCCCCGGUCUCUGGGUGUUUAUGAGUGGAUUUCAAAGGCGGCAUCCCUCAACUGUCAGAGGCCUCGGGGACAACCAAGGAAGAGCUUAGGCUGCUUCUGAUGAGGAGGAGGAAACAAAGGCCCUAACAGGUGCGAAGCUUCCCUGGCUGCCCCCUCCCUUUCCUCUUCUCUCCUCCCUCCCCUUCACUAUAAAUACCCACUGAUGCAAAUGAUGACUGCUACAAGAUACUUAUCAUAAAUUACAGGUGGGUGAUUGUGAGUCUAGGCCAUGGUCCCUCUGGGGAGAUGUUUCAGUUUAAAAAAAACAACAACUGUGAUUGGAAGAAGAGGAAGAGGCCUUUUCUGAACUGCAGAUGGCAGUUGUGCUCUGGCUAGGGCACCCUAGGGCCCAAAAAAGGAAGAGGGUGGACACUGGGAAGAGGGGAGGUGGAAGGGGACAAGACCCAGGUUUGGAAGGGAGCAGGGAGCAGGGAGCAGGCACUAUGUGGAGUAGCCUUGUUAGUAACAAAUAAGAAGUGUUACAGGGGUGUUUGUGUGCCUGGGAUGGGCCUGCCCCCACAAUGAUGAGCCAUGAAAAAUUUGCUGAAUUAUGCAAAGUCCCACUAAAGGUGUUUUCUAAAAGAAUAUCCAUUAGGAUCUGCUUACCUCUGAACCUUUCAGAGGUACUGUUUGGUUUUUAAGAGAGCAAGAAGUCCCAGAUUGGGGCAAAUGACUUGCCCAAGGCCCCACAGUUCAGCAAAGGGUAAGCUGAACAGGUUUGUGAGUUUGUUAAAAUCUGAGGACACCCUAAUAGGAGGAUAUAAAGCUUUUGGCCCCUGUAUUCUAAGACCACUCCCUCAGUCACAGGGAUGAAGGAGGAGGUGGCCUGAAGCGACCCUGCAAGCCAACAGCAUUGUACAGUGGGAAGUCUGCAGGCUCCAGGGUCAGAGAACGAAAGUUCACAACCCUGCCAGGUACUGGGUUUCUCCCUUUGCCUGGGCCUCAGUUUCUGUAAAAUGAAGGGGGUGGCUUAGGUCAGAUGACCUCUCAGGUUCCCUCCACUUCUAGCUCUAGGAUUCUGUUCUCCAAAUACAGCUUUCCCAGGUCCUUAGCUGCUGACUUGAUCCACAUCUGGGUGAAAAGCUAGUUUUGAAUUUUUCCCUGAAUGAUUGCCAUCACCUUCUCUUCGUUGCCCCAUCAGAAGAGUCCCAUCUGCAGGCACCCAGGCCGACUCUGUUCAGCAGGACAGUUUCUCACAGUAUUAGCAUGAUAAAUACCAGUGGGGGGAGGGUGGUGAAGAUCGGUCUAGGAACUCCAUUUUAAAUCCCACUAAUGAGCGCUGACCUCCUGCUGAAGCUGUUGUCAGGAUAAGCACUCAGAAUCGACUGCGGCUUGGAAGGCAACACGUCACACAGCAGGCCCUCCCCUCCCUGCUCCAACUCAUCCCACCAUCCUAGCCUCUUACCAUUCAGGUGGAACACACUAUUUCAGAGGGAGGGAAGACUGAACUGUUUUUUUAAAGGAGAGAAAAAGAAGUCACUACAGAACAGGAACUCCUGGAAGGUGAUGCAUUUAAUUUCAUUUCCUCUUUUGACCCCUUUCUUCCCCUAAGAAGAGAACUUCUUAAUUGAAGUCUACACUGGAGAAUACUUUCUCUAUGUCAGCAAAUGUCCUUCUGCAGAAAAAAAAAAAGUACUUGGUUACUGUAGAUUGUGCCAUACUCUUUUUCGCUUUUGCUUUAGGAAGGAUGAGUGAUUAUGGUUUUGUGAUUUUUCCCAAAAAUGAAAAUGAAAAAGAGGCAGAGUUCACCUGGCUGCAGCUCGCUUGAGUGGCAGCAGCUUGCCAAGUGAAUGACAACAGUGAGCAAUCUUCUCUCUCAUCAAAAAACUAAUCUUUGUUAAUGUUGGAGGGGCUGUGGUAAGACAGGUGCACCAGUGAGCCAUUGGUGGAGCCUGGAAGUGAUUCAACUCUUCUGGAUUUUAAAUUGGAAUAAUGCAAGAAAAGUGAAGUGAUCUAGCAAUCCCUCUUUUGGGCAUGGACCCUUCUUCCCUCCUGAGAAGUCAAAGAGAGGAACAAAGCAGAGAGAGGUGACGGACUACUAGGGCAGAGCAUGACGUGCAGUGUCAGUUGCAUCUUUGUAUUGGAUAUUUUUGUUUGUUUUUGUCACAAGGGAAGACAAUCUGUGAAGUGUGUGGGAAAUGACUGUGAAGACAACACGAUGUAUAAAAUCCUAAUUUUUGCAGUAGAAUCAUUCAUUGAAAAUAGUUCAACCUUCCCCAAAUUUUCAAGGAAUAAGACACAAUAUAUGUGUUAGGGAUCAACAGUUCAUUUAAUGGGGGAGCUGGGGAGAGCCAGGAGUGACACUUUUAAGAGAAAUAGAUGAAUUUCACAUACCAACUAAUAAUGUUUUGAGCAAAAAUUUAGAUGAAGGAAAUGAGUAUUGAAGCAUAAGAUGUGGAGAAAAGGGGGGAAGGGGCUGACAGAAAGGAAAGAUCAAAGAUUAGAUUAUUAUUGCUAUUUUAAGUUUGAAGUGCUAGGCGACAAACCUCCUUCCACUUAAGUGUAAAUCAAUGUCCCUAAAAUACAACUGUUCCCAGCCCUGAGACCUGGAAAGGGCCCAGGACCUCUGGUCUCUGGACCCAGCCACAGAUGGCCUGGGCUAAGCCAAGGCCCCAUUUGUACUCUCAGAGGCAUCUACAGAUGUCCCUUCUCCCAGGGCCUGGCCUGUUUUCAGUUGCCCUUAGACAUGUGAAUUCUGGUACUAUAACUUCAAAGCCCUGCAGUAUUCUCCCCCCCUGCCUUCAGUAAAAUAAGAAGCCAAAAUGAAGGACAAGAGAGUGGGAAAGGAAGACAAAACCACCCACACCUGCUCAGACUUCUGCAGUUUCUCCAGGAAGAUCGGCCUGUGUCAACAAGCAACGUCAUCAUGACAAAUGAGAAACAUUUACCCCAAACAAAAACCCUGUAAAUAACCACUGGUGACACAGCCCUGUUGCCUCCUUGCUGGUAACAGCUGGCUGUGAGCCAGGCGUGCUGGAUGGGACUCUCAGAAGGGGCAAGGCCAGGCACAGGCCCAGCCCACCUUUUCCUCAUCCAGGCCAAACUGCUCUUCUCACCUCUGUACAGCUGGGUCAUUCCUCCUUGAGAAUUAGCAUCAGUACUGAUCCCAUCUCAUGACCCUUCCACCCUUCUCCUCACCUCCUCCCUCCUGAGUCUUUCUCUUGGCCCCCACUUCAGGCAUUGCUCAUGUUUUCCACGCUUCACAGCAUCCCCUGUCUUCCCUCCCACCCCUACAUCCCUUUUUUUGUUCUAGUCAAUUAGUUCAUUCUUGGAGUUCAUAGCUCCAGCGAGGAGAGAAGUAAGAGGAGAGAAGUCAGUUGGGGGUGAAUACUUGUCGGGGGUUCUAUCUUAUGCCCUGCAGCCACACACAUCAUAGGUGUUCAAUCUGCCACCUGAGUUUCAACACUUGCUAAGUUCCUUAGGCCCUUUUCCAAGUUCCUUUGAUGGGACUCCCUCUUCCUCUUUAAGCCUUUCUUAAGGGGCUGGGCAUUCUUUGCACUUCACACUCCAGUAUGAUGCAUCUUGAAAUGGGGCUCUUCAAGAUCUCAUGGCUCUAGGGGGCGUCACAGACAUUUCUCUACACCUCUCCAUAUCUUGUAUUCUUGAAGAAACACAACGGUGAUAAAACAUCUUCAUAGCUAAGAAUGGCCCUCAGUAGCACUUCACUGUCUAGUUAAUGGGUUCGAACCAAGAUAUUCAAACUCCUCUUAGGUGGAAAAGAGCCAGGCUGUGUCGGGAGGGCAAAGUUCGAAAACUUAGCUGAGUCACUUCAGUUGGAUGAACAUUCCUUCCUUUUUCACAGUUCAAGAGUGAACCAGGCAGUAAGCAUUCCUUAGUUAAGUACCUACUAUGUAAAUAGCUGGGGAGUUGACGAGGGGGAGGAGACACUAAGCUCUUUCCAUCCUCUGGAUGGCUUUUGUACAGUCCAGUGGAGAAGGAGAAGGCUGGAAGACGUCAACAUGUAGGGAAGAAUGGGUCAUUAGGGUCCCAAGGUGAAGUGGCUGCAGUGAUAGACUCUUUGGGUUUUGAAGCUUACUUGUUUUACUUUAUUUCCAGAUGUGCAACUUGGCCAGGGUAUUUUCCUAGGCAGCAGGAAACGUCUUCCACAAAUACUUAAGCAAUGGCUAUGGAAGGGCAGGCAGCUAAGGGGAGGUGAUAUUUCCCAUCUCCAUAGAGUAGGAGGGACUAGUGAGGCAAUCAAAGCCAGGUACUUGUCCCUACAAAGGUGGCUUUCAUGUUCAAAAUGAAACUUUUGCCUCAGCAAUUUCUGAAAAUCUUAAUUCCAUCCUAUAAGAUGACUAAGCUGGCUAAUUUGGUUUCCCGAUCCAGGAGCUUGGCUCUAUGAUGCCCAGGCUAUCUGAAGCCCAAGAAAGUGCUAAGCAGACAGGAAUUCUUCAUGUUAAUUGGCAACUAGAGGUUACUCAAUGAAACAAGUAGCAUCCAAACCCCAGAAGACUGCCACCUGCUAUGGGAGGAGCAGGCAAAAGAACUUGUUAAGGAGAGUCAUGUUCCUGAAUAAACACUCUCCACCCGUGUGGGGAUGUCUGGGAUUCAAAGAGUGGGAAAAUGGGCAAAAAGAAGACAGCAAAACCAUCAGGAGCGGAGAGUGGGCCAAGAAGGACCCAGUCCUUCCUAGCAAUGACCCAGCUAGUGUCUGGAAGGUGACUUCAGACAAAUUUCUGGCCUCUUCCCAAGCCUCUCAAGCCUUUGCUCCUCCUCCCAUCCCUCCAUGCUCCCUCUUCUCGCCUUGGUGUCUCUCUGCUCUGGGUCGACCUAUGUUCAAAGUGAAGAGAAACCUUUCCACUUCAUCAUGCAGUUUGAUGCUAUCCUACUAUCUCAAUAUUGAUAUAUCAUUCAACGUGAAAUUAAAUAAGAAGAAAAAGCAUGUUUAAUUCGCUGACCUGCUUGAUCUUUCUAUAUUCCAAGCAAUGUUUUUCGGAUGCCAGAAAAAGAAAAAAUACCCAAACCAAAGCAAACCAGUUUUUUCUGAGCCAGGUCCAGGAAUUUGCUGAUGUCCCCUAAGUCCAAUACUUUAAGAGACAGCAGGUUUUCUUAAGCUUCCCAGAAGCACUGGCAUCCCCCUCUUUGGUGCCCUCCCCCCUCCACCCCUUCCUACCUGCCAAACAGAGCAAACCUGGAGCUCUCCGAGAACAGCACUUGGGGCUGGAGAGGGAGCUGAUGAUAACCGUGAAUAUGGCAGGAAGCUCUCAAGAUAAACCAAAAGCAGACAAUAAAUCUGAUCAAAUUACAGAGGACAGUUAACACUGAAGGGGGAGUUAUGAAGCAAGAGACAAGAUCAAGGCAGAUAGGGCUACAAUAGUCAAAUGAGAUCAUUUUUAUGAAGAUCAGGAAGAAACCUUCUUCUAACAGACUUUUAAAAUCCCCAGUUGAGUAUUGUAGUCCACAAAUACACCUUAAAAAAGAGAGAGAGAGAGAGAGAGAGAGAGAGAGAGAGAGAGAGA